rnacentral:lncRNA from 1 species
CUUCAUGACAGUAGACAUUAUAGCUCAGUAGAGCCCCAGUUAGAGACAGACAUGAUAUCUGCAGUGAUUUUGAUGAUCAUUUUCUGGAGCACAGAUCUCCAGGCUCAAAGCGUCAGUCCACCAGAUCUCCAGGCUCAAAGCGUCAGUCCACCAGCUGAACUCUCAGUCAGACUGGUGGAUGGGACCACUUCCUGUUCUGGGACAGUGGAAGUCUUCUACAGAGGAGAGUGGUUAGGUCUAUGUUCUAGGUGGUGGGGCAUGAAAGAGAUCAAGAUUUUGUGUAGAGAGCUGGGAUGUGGGAAUGUUGUAGCUAAAUCUAGAGGACCACCGUUUGAAGAUGGAAGAAGAGGAAUCAGCAUAUGGCUUUGUAGUGG